rnacentral:lncRNA from 1 species
GGGCGGAGAAAGGGGGGGCGGAGAAGAGGGGGCGGAGAACAGGAGAGAGAGGAGGGAAUCGAGGAGGAGGGAAGGGAAGGCAGCGGAGCUCAGCGGAUCCGAGAGGAGCUCAGCAACUCGGAGCUGAACUGAGCGCGCCGAGCGCUCCCCAGGCGCCGCUCUACCUGAGCUCCCCCGCCCCCUCUAGUGCCCCGCCCCCCACUGCGGCUCUACCUGCAUUCCCCCUCCGGGUAUCUGUUCCCAGCACCACCCCCCCUCAGCCAGGCACGCGCUGCUGCCGCUGCGGGACUGGCCGGGCACCUGGCACCUGGCGACCGCUGCGGGCACACCUCUCCACCUAGCUAGGCACUGGCAAGCGGGAGCCGCUCAGCCCGAGCAAGAGCUGGCGCGCAGACUGACAGACAGACAGACAGGCGGGUGGCCAGAAGGAGGGGACGCGAGAGAAGCAGGGUGCCGCCAACAAGGAAGAGCCCGCGGCCAACUUUGCCUCCGAGCGCCCAGGCUGAGCCUGUGCCCCCCAACAUGGCCUCCGCAGCCGCCGAAGCCCCGGGAGCCCAGCUGA